UAGAGUUUGAUCCUGGCUCAGGAUGAACGCUGGCGGCGUGCCUAACACAUGCAAGUCGAGCGAGAUUUAGUGGAGUGGAGACUUCGGUUGAAGCGAAGCUAAUGAAAGCGGCGGACGGGUGAGUAACGCGUGGGCAACCUGCCCCAUACAAAGGGAUAGCCACUGGAAACGGUGAUUAAUACCUUAUAAGUCGGUAGUCUCGCAUGAGACAGCCGACAAAGAUUUAUCGGUAUGGGAUGGGCCCGCGUUUGAUUAGCUAGUUGGUGAGGUAACGGCUCACCAAGGCGACGAUCAAUAGCCGACCUGAGAGGGUGAUCGGCCACACUGGAACUGAGACACGGUCCAGACUCCUACGGGAGGCAGCAGUGGGGAAUAUUGCACAAUGGGCGCAAGCCUGAUGCACAACGCCGCGUGAGUGAUGAAGGCCUUCGGGUCGUAAACUCUGUCC
rnacentral:rRNA from 1 species